GUUCAAGGCAAAUAUUUGGUUCCCCAGGUGUGAUGUAAUCAGCUCCCUCAGAAGGUGGAUUCUUGGACCAUUUUGGAUAUUGCACAUAUAAGAUAAGAUUUCAGAGGAAACCUUGCUAAUUGCUUCUUCAAUAAAGUGUGAGAAAUGUGGACCACAGAUGAAGAUCGUUAGAAGAGCCGAUUCUGAGGACGGCCGUAUAUGGUAUUGUGUCAUGGUGAAAGAAAUAACCACUGUAACGGUAAAAAAACGUAUUAGACAUUCCUCCUUUUUUUACCGGCAAUAAACUAAUUAAUAAUAAUAACUAA